GACGAACGCUGGCGGCGUGCUUAACACAUGCAAGUCGAACGAAGAGCGAUGGAAGCUUGCUUCUAUCAAUCUUAGUGGCGAACGGGUGAGUAACGCGUAAUCAACCUGCCCUUCAGAGGGGGACAACAGUUGGAAACGACUGCUAAUACCGCAUACGAUCUAAUCUCGGCAUCGAGGAUAGAUGAAAGGUGGCCUCUACAUGUAAGCUAUCACUGCAGGAGGGGAUUGCGUCUGAUUAGCUAGUUGGAGGGGUAACGUCCCACCAAGGCGAUGAUCAGUAGCAGGUCGGAGAGGAUGAACAGCCACAUUGGGACUGAGACACGGCCCAGACUCCUACGGGAGGCAGCAGUGGGGAAUCGUCCGCAAUGGACGAAGGUCUGACGGAGCAACGCCGCGUGAGUGAUGACGGCCUUCGGGUUGUAAAGCUCUGUUAAUCGGGACGAAAGGCCUUCUUGCGAAUAGGGAGAAGGAUUGACGGUACCGGAAUAGAAAGCCACGGCUAACUACGUG
rnacentral:rRNA from 1 species